rnacentral:rRNA from 1 species
UACGUAGGGCGCAAGCGUUGUCCGGAAUUAUUGGGCGUAAAGAGCUCGUAGGCGGCCAGUUGCGUCCGCUGUGAAAUCCCGGGGCUUAACCCCGGGCGUGCAGUGGAUACGGGCUGGCUAGAGGCAGGCAGGGGAGAACGGAAUUCCCGGUGUAGCGGUGAAAUGCGCAGAUAUCGGGAGGAACACCGGUGGCGAAGGCGGUUCUCUGGGCCUGUACUGACGCUGAGGAGCGAAAGCCAGGGGAGCGAACGGGG